UACGUAGGGUGCGAGCGUUGUCCGGAAUUAUUGGGCGUAAAGGGUGCGUAGGCGGCGGGGCAAGUCUGAUGUGAAAUCCCGGGGCUCAACCCUGGAACUGCAUUGGAUACUGCCUUACUAGAGUACUGGAGAGGAAACUGGAAUUUACGGUGUAGCAGUGAAAUGCGUAGAUAUCGUAAGGAAGACCAGUGGCGAAGGCGAGUUUCUGGACAGUUACUGACGCUGAGGCACGAAGGCCAGGGGAGCAAACGGG
rnacentral:rRNA from 1 species